rnacentral:rRNA from 1 species
GAUGAACGCUGGCGGCGUGCCUAAUACAUGCAAGUCGAGCGAACAGAUAAGGAGCUUGCUCCUUUGACGUUAGCGGCGGACGGGUGAGUAACACGUGGGUAACCUACCUAUAAGACUGGGAUAACUUCGGGAAACCGGAGCUAAUACCGGAUAACAUUUGGAACCGCAUGGUUCUAAAGUGAAAGAUGGUUUUGCUAUCACUUAUAGAUGGACCCGCGCCGUAUUAGCUAGUUGGUAAGGUAACGGCUUACCAAGGCAACGAUACGUAGCCGACCUGAGAGGGUGAUCGGCCACACUGGAACUGAGACACGGUCCAGACUCCUACGGGAGGCAGCAGUAGGGAAUCUUCCGCAAUGGGCGAAGGCCUGACGGAGCAACGCCGCGUGAGUGAUGAAGGGUUUCGGCUCGUAAAACUCUGUUAUUAGGGAAGAACAAACGUGUAAGUAACUGUGCACGUCUUGACGGUACCUAAUCAGAAAGCCACGGCUAACUACGUG